rnacentral:lncRNA from 1 species
GAUUGUUACAUGAACCUGCUUCUCAUUGAUGAAUGUGUCUAGAAGAAUAAAGGAAGAAAGGACAAGAGGAAUGGAUAUUAAAGAAGGAUCUGGAAGCCAUGUUGGACACUUUCACUUUCUGCAAGGAGAAAAAGACAGUGAAGAAAACUGACAGCCAGAAAAAUGAGACAAACUACUUAGUAAUUUUCAUCUCGGAUUGGAUCAUGGCCUUCAGCAAGUAAUUUCAGUUCAGCAAGCCUGCACAGAUUGAAGAAAGGUUCUUGAAGCAUGUGAAACUCCCAAAGCUGAAGAUUUGUUAAGAAAGCUUUCUGAAUCACUCUGAAUAAGUAAGGAGGCUGAGUAUAUGAACCUUUCCUGAACAAACUCCUUAAAUUUAUUCAAGUAAUGAUGCCAAAUAAAGAAUAAAAUGCUUACUGCA